GGAAAUGUGGCUUAGUGGUAAAGUGCUUGUGUAGUAUGCAUGAAGCCCUGGGUUCAAUUCCCAACUACCCG
rnacentral:tRNA from 1 species